GACGAACGCUGGCGGCGCGCCUAACACAUGCAAGUCGAACGGAGCUGAGAGAAGCUUGCUUUUCUUAGCUUAGUGGCGAACGGGUGAGUAACGCGUGAGUAACCUGCCCUGGAGUGGGGGACAACAGUUGGAAACGACUGCUAAUACCGCAUAAGCCCACGAUCCGGCAUCGGAUUGAGGGAAAAGGAUUUAUUCGCUUCAGGAUGGACUCGCGUCCAAUUAGCUAGUUGGUGAGGUAACGGCCCACCAAGGCGACGAUUGGUAGCCGGACUGAGAGGUUGAACGGCCACAUUGGGACUGAGACACGGCCCAGACUCCUACGGGAGGCAGCAGUGGGGGAUAUUGCACAAUGGGGGAAACCCUGAUGCAGCGACGCCGCGUGGAGGAAGAAGGUUUUCGGAUUGUAAACUCCUGUCGGUAGGGACGAUAAUGACGGUACCUAACAAGAAAGCACCGGCUAACUACGU
rnacentral:rRNA from 1 species